rnacentral:rRNA from 1 species
CCUACGGGUGGCAGCAGUGAGGAAUAUUGGUCAAUGGGCGAGAGCCUGAACCAGCCAAGUCGCGUGAGGGAGUACUGCCCUAUGGGUUGUAAACCUCUUUUGUCGGGGAGCAAAAUCCGGACGUGUCCGGCUGUGAGAGUACCCGCAGAAAAAGCAUCGGCUAAGUCCGUGCCAGCAGCCGCGGUAAUACGGAGGAUGCGAGCGUUAUCCGGAUUUAUUGGGUUUAAAGGGUGCGCAGGCGGAUUUUUAAGUCAGCGGUAAAAUCGUGGGGCUCAACCCCAUCCAGCCGUUGAAACUGGGGAUCUAGAGUGUGCGAGAGGUAUGCGGAAUGCGUGGUGUAGCGGUGAAAUGCAUAGAUAUCACGCAGAACCCCGAUUGCGAAGGCAGCAUACCGGUGCACAACUGACGCUCAGGCACGAAAGCGUGGGUAUCGAACAGGAUUAGAUACCCCUGUAGUC